UGCUUAUCCCAUAUCAUUUAUGAAUAAAUCUUUUAACAACCAUUAUUUCAACGAUUGAAAUAUAGGGAUGUCGUUUUAGGAAUACGAAAAAUGCUCCCACUAUCUUCUUGUAAACACACAAUUCAUUUUCAAAUUUGAUAAAAUCAAACACUUUGACUUUUCAUCAAAUCUAAGAUUUCAGCUCCAAGAGACUUCUCUUAACCUAUAGUCACGAUAUGCAACUGUUGCAAACAAAACCCGAAUGGACUUAAGCAAGGCUACAGGAGAAAUAUUUCACCAAGGUCAACAUUUAACCUUUGCUUCUAGCAUUGCUUUGUAUAUAUGGAUAUUCAUAUCCAUAUCGACCUUUUCUUUUGUAAACUAUUCACAAAAGCUUAUGGGCUUUAUUCCAUUAGGAGGCAUGACCAAGGUCCAAACCUUGUUCACUCGCGUCGAGUUUCAUCUCGAGUUUCAUGGCCUCUUGCUGUCUCUUUUAAGUCAACACUUGACUUUAUUUUGUUGCAACUAGCAGGUUCAUUAUCCUGGAUCACUGAUUAAUGAUUCGCACCUUCUUGAAGGUCGAAUGAGCCUACUAGAUUCACAUAGAGCUGUCAUGUCCUCAGGAGUCUUUACUUCCUGAUCCAAAGUAUGUCCCAUAUCAGAUAUGGGAUCAAACUCAGAUUUAUCUACUUGGUUAACUAUAUCUGUGGACUCUUGAACUCUUUCAAAAUUCUAUUUUACUCCCACUGUCCUCUCCUAGAGUAAACAUUUUCUCUAAGAAGACGAUAUGUCGUGAGACGAAGACUUUCUUCAUGAUAAUAGAAUUUAUAUUCAAUUGUCUCCUUUGAAUAUCUCACAAAUAUGUAUUUAUUGGAUUUAGUCUCAAACUUAUCCGAUUUAAGGCGCUUCAAAUAAGCGUCAUGGCCCAAAUCUUUCAUAUAAGAUAAAUUGGGACUAUUAUCUUUCCAUAACUCGUAUGGAAUUUUGUUAACCAAUUUAGAUGGGACAUGGUUUAGUGUGUUGCACACUGCAAUCAAUGCGUGACCUCAAAACAAUUUUGAGAAAUUUGCAUGGCUUGUUAUUAAUCGCAUUAUAUGUAAUAAUUAACGAUUCCUCCUUUUAGAUACACCACCUUACUGCAGUGUAUAUGAAGG
rnacentral:lncRNA from 1 species